AAUCAGUGUCACAGUUUGGUGCUCUAACAGCGGCACUGACCUUUCCAUAGUAAUUAGUAAGUGCUAUUUGUUGGGUAGUUUUGAAGU
rnacentral:pre_miRNA from 1 species